UAUGGAAGGACCAAGAGGUAUUCGGGGCAACCCUCAAAUUGCAUCCAUAUGGAAAAUGAUACCUAUAUGUCUAUGGUGGUGCAUUUGGAGGGAGAGGAAUGUAAGAAGCUUUGAAGAUCAAGAGCGAUCGAUGGAAGAGCUUAGAAAU